CUUAGCUCAGUUGGAUAGAGCAUUUGGCUUCGAACCAAAGGGUCGUGGGUUCGAAUCCCUCAGGA
rnacentral:tRNA from 1 species